rnacentral:lncRNA from 1 species
GCCAGCAGUCAACUUGUCUAUCGAGAACUGGCAUACAUUUUGGCUUCUAUGACAAAUGCCAAAAUAGCAAGACAAGGAUGGCUUUCUCCCCUCUGACGUGUCGUGUUUUGAGGCCGGUGUGAUGGUCACCGGGCAUCUUCACGCUCUGUGCUCCUCUGUGCCUACCUCCCAUCCCACACCCAUCAUGGCUGCUCCAGCCCCUGCCAUCACAUCUGGCAUCUGCUCCUCCCCCCCGGUGGACUGUCAGGUAGGGCAUGGGGGCCCCACCCGGAGGCCUGGGAAGCCAGGCCAGGCAGUCUGUGUGUUUCUCCGAAGCCGUGAGCAGUUCCCUGGCGGGGCAGCUCCUGAGCAGAAAGCAGACGGCUUUUAAAACACGAGUCCUGAAGAUAGGCGGAGGGAGUGAGACUGGAGGCAGUCACGGAGUCUCCCGAGAGGAGCAUGGCACAUCCUGGCCAAAGCCAGGGAACCCUUCAGCUCCAACCCGGCGUUCUGGGAGGACUCCCCGGAGGGGGCAGCCCUGAAGGCAUGGAAACAGGAAACAGGCUCAGAGAGGUGACGCCUCGUGCCUGGGUCGCACAGCCAGUCGGCACCCAACGGGAUUUGAAUCCAGGUCUUCCUGACUCAUGCUCUGGUGGGCUCCCACCAAUUCUCCAGGAAGCCUUCUCCCCCUCCCCCGCCCUGCCUCCCCCGCCCCCGCUGUUUUCCUGGCUCCCUCUCAGGGAAGAGAACAUGCUCCCAGUCUCUGUCUCCCUGGGAGAAAUCCAUUUUCAGAAUCUGGAGGUGUGGAAAUGUGUUCUUUUUUCCUCUCCAAAGAGCCCAUCUUGAGGACAGAGGUGCCCCCAGCACCCCCAGGAGGCCACCAACGGCCGAGCAGAGGCCAGAAGCUGCCUGAAGAGGGGUCACGGCCCCAGCCAGGCUGGCACCCAGCACGGCGUCUCGGGGGGGAGACUGCAUCCUGGGACAGUGCAUAGCUGGACCUCAGCCGUGAGCACUGGGGACCUCAGAGGACCCCUCCUGCCUCCCUGGCCGGGCUGCGGCAGGAACAGGAGGGUCCCUGAGCCUGCCUGACGCGGGCGCUGGGCGUACUCCAUGUCCCCUCCACACCCGGGACCGACGCAGGGGUCACUGUUGCCCUGGGCAUCCUCUGGCCCUGGAGUGGCACGGGGGUGGGGUCACUGGUG